UNUUACCAGAAAGGGACGGCUAACUACGUGCCAGCAGCCGCGGUAAUACGUAGGUCCCGAGCGUUNUCCGGAUUUAUUGGGCGUAAAGCGAGCGCAGGCGGUUAGAUAAGUNUGAAGUUAAAGGCUGUGGCUUAACCAUAGUAUGCUUUGGAAACUGUUUAACUNGAGUGCAGAAGGGGAGAGUGGAAUUCCAUGUGUAGCGGUGAAAUGCGUAGAUAUAUGGAGGAACACCGGUGGCGAAAGCGGCUCUCUGGUCUGUAACUGACGCUGAGGCUCGAAAGCGUGGGGAGCAAACAGGAUUAGAUACCCUGGUAGUCCACGCCGUAAACGAUGAGUGCUAGGUGUUAGGCCCUUUCCGGGGCUUAGUGCCGCAGCUAACGCAUUAAGCACUCCGCCUGGGGAGUACGACCGCAAGGUUGAAACUCAAAGGAAUUGACGGGGGCCCGCACAAGCGGUGGAGCAUGUGGCUUAAUUCGAAGCAACGCGAAGAACCUUACCAGGUCUUGACAUCCCUCUGACCGCUCUAGAGAUAGAGUUUUCCUUCGGGACAGAGGUGACAGGUGGUGCAUGGUUGUCGUCAGCUCGUGUCGUGAGAUGUUGGGUUAAGUCCCGCAACGAGCGCAACCCCUAUUGUUAGUUGCCAUCAUUCAGUUGGGCACUCUAGCGAGACUGCCGGUAAUAAACCGGAGGAAGGUGGGGAUGACGUCAAAUCAUCAUGCCCCUUAUGACCUGGGCUACACACGUGCUACAAUGGCUGGUACAACGAGUCGCAAGCCGGUGACGGCAAGCUAAUCUCUGAAAGCCAGUCUCAGUUCGGAUUGUAGGCUGCAACUCGCCUACAUGAAGUCGGAAUCGCUAGUAAUCGCGGAUCAGCACGCCGCGGUGAAUACGUUCCCGGGCCUUGUACACACCGCCCGUCACACCACGAGAGUUUGUAACACCCGAAGUCGGUGAGGUAACCGUAAGGAGC
rnacentral:rRNA from 1 species